GACGAACGCUGGCGGCGUGCCUAAUACAUGCAAGUAGAACGCUGAAGGAGGAGCUUGCUUCUCUGGAUGAGUUGCGAACGGGUGAGUAACGCGUAGGUAACCUGCCUGGUAGCGGGGGAUAACUAUUGGAAACGAUAGCUAAUACCGCAUAAUAGUAGAUGUUGCAUGACAUUUGCUUAAAAGGUGCAAUUGCAUCACUACCAGAUGGACCUGCGUUGUAUUAGCUAGUUGGUGGGGUAACGGCUCACCAAGGCGACGAUACAUAGCCGACCGGAGAGGGUGAUCGGCCACCCUGGGACUGAGACACGGCCCAGACUCCUACGGGAGGCAGCAGUAGGGAAUCUUCGGCAAUGGCCGGAAGUCUGACCGAGCAACGCCGCGUGAGUGAAGAAGGUUUUCGGAUCGUAAAGCUCUGUUGUAAGAGAAGAACGAGUGUGAGAGUGGAAAGUUCACACUGUGACGGUAUCUUACCAGAAAGGGACGGCUAACUACGUG
rnacentral:rRNA from 1 species